rnacentral:rRNA from 1 species
AAUAUUGCACAAUGGGCGAAAGCCUGAUGCAGCAACGCCUCGUGAGUGAUUAAUGCCUUCGGUUCGUAAAGCUCUUUGAUCAGGGAUGAUAAUGACAGUACCUGAAAAACAAGCCACGGCUACCUACGUGCCAGCAGUCGCGGUAAUACGUAGGUGGCGAGCGUUGUCCGGAAUUACUGGGCGUAAAGGAUGCGUAGGUGGAUACUUAAGUGUGAUGUGAAAUCCCCGGGCUCCACCCGGGAACUGGAUUCCAAACUGGGUAUCUAGAGUGCAGGAGAGGAAAGCGGAAUACCUAGUGUAGCGGUGAAAUGCGUAGAUAUUAGGAGGAACACCAGUGGCGAAGGCGGCUUUCUGGACUGUAACUGACACUGAGGCAUAAAAGCGUGGGUAGCAAACAGG